GGUAAAUGACGUCACACGCGGCCAUGUGGGUGUGUUUGGGUGCAGUCGAGAGAGAACCAUGGCCAAGUAUACUGUGCAGUUCCCGCCCGCCUCUUACUCCUUUCUGGCGCCUCUGCUCUACCAGGUCGCCCAUACUACAAGCUCUCCCUUCCUCGGCCAUACCCUUGAGGUCAGUUCCGGCAAUAACAGUGAGCAAGACCUCGUUACCUAUACAAGCUUUCUAGGAAUCGCUAUUAAGGGUUAGUUAGACUCGACAUGUUGAUGGUAGUAACAGUGUGGGUCCUUAAUCUAACAUUUCGGGGUUUACACACGCGCAUUUGGUAAGGCUUUCGGGGGGUGGGGGUGGUUGUUGUAAGUGUGAUGAGGCUUUCGUAGGGGUUGUUUUAAGUGUGAUAAGGCUUUCGUAGGGGUUGUAAGUGUGAUAAGGCUUUCGUAGAGGUUGUUGUACGUGUGAUAAGGCUUUCGAAGAUGUUGUUGUGGGUAUUUCCAUGGGUAGUUUUUUGAGUUGGUAAUAAAUGACGUUUUUAAAGGCCAUACUCAAAUAUCUCGGGGCUUACACACACACACACACACACACACACACACACACACACACACAGAGUUAGUAAGCCUUUCGUAUAGGUUGAGGGUGUGGGUAUUUCCAUGGGUACUUUUAUGAGGCUAGUAACAGUUUGACAAUGCUUCCGCACGACCAUGAAUGUAAAAAGCAUGCAUGAAAGCCUGACUAUAUGAUCUUGUUUGUGGACUUGGUAACAGUUGUUGUGAGCCUAAAGCAUCUACCAAUACGGACGGAUGCAGGGUUGGCGAGAACAAGAGUAAUUAGAAGUGAUGUAUGUGGAGUUUAGCGAAGAGGAAGGCAGUUAAGAAGGUGCCGUAGGUUUUCGAGUUAGUAAUAAGUGGUAUAAGGAAGAGAUAAGUAAGUGGAAGUGAUGUAUGUGGAGUUUAGCGAAGUGGAAAGCAACGUUGCCAGAUUGUCGUACUCAGCCUCUUGUAUUUACCGACUUCCGACCCAAAAACUGUCUCCUGGGCCCCAAGAUUCAUUAAUAAUUAUUAUCGUUAAAAUAGUUAAUUCCUGAUGUUUCUUGGCAAUAGUUAGGCGUCAGAAACCGAUAAAUGCUAUGCUCUGAGUACGAUAAUCUGGCAACGGUGGUGGAAAGCAGUUUAGAAGGUGCCGUAGGUUUUAGAUAAUUAAGUGGAAGUGAUGUUUGUGGAGUUUAGCGAAGUGGAAGGCAGUUUAGAAGGUGCUGCUGGAUUUCGAGUUAGUAAUAAGUGAUCUAAGGAAACGAUAAUUAAGUGGAAGUGAUGUUUGUGGAGUUAAGCGAAGUGGAAAGCAGUUUAGAAGGUGCCGUAGGUUUUAGAGUUCGUAUUAAGUGGUAAAUAAGUGGAAGUGAUGUGUGUGGAGUAUAUUUAAGUGGAAAAACAGUUAGGAAGGUGUCGUAGGUUUCGAGUCGGUAAUAGCAUGUUAGUAAGGAAAAAUAAUUGUAAGUGGAGUUUAGCGAAGGGAAAAACAGUUAAGGUGUCGAUGGUUCCUGAGUUGGUAAUAAGGGACGCCUGUUGAUAAGGAAAAGUAAUUGUAAGUGGAGUUUAGCGAAGGGGAGAGCAGUUUUGAAGGUGAGGUCUGUUAGUAAGGAGGAGAUAAGUAUUUAGAAGUGAAGUAAGUGGAGUUUAGCGAAGGGGAGAAGAGUUUUGAAGGUGAGGUCUGUUAGUAAGGAGGAGAUAAGUAUUUAGAAGUGAAGUAAGUGGAGUUUAGCGAAGGGGAGAGCAGUUUUGAAGGUGAGGUCUGUUAGUAAGGAGGAGAUAAGUAUUUAGAAGUGAAGUAAGUGAAGUUUAGCGAAGGGGAGAGCAGUUUUGAAGGUGAGGUCUGUUAGUAAGGAGGAGAUAAGUAUUUAGAAGUGAAGUAAGUGGAGUUUAGCGAAGGGGAAAACAGAUAAGAAAGUGCCGUUGGUUUUUGAGUUGGUGAUAAGUUCAAGCAGUAAGGAAGAGCUUGCAAUACGGCCAAUUAUGUUUUUUUUUUUUUUUUCAAGGAUUCUCUCUCUGGUCCAUAUUCUUAAACGUACAUAUAUUCAUACAUUAGUUCAAGGUUGAUAUAUUUCUCUCCUUCUUCUUCUUCUUCUUCUUCUUCUUCUUCAGUCUUCUUUUUUCCUUUUUCUUCUAUCCGUUUCUUCAGUCUUAUUUUCUCCUUUUUCUUCUUUCGUUUCUUCAGUCUUCUCCUUUUUCUUCUUUCCGUUUCCUUAGUCUUUUCUCAUUUUUCUCCUCUUCGUUUCUUCAAUCUUCUUCUUUCCUCCUUUUUUCUCCUUUCCUUCUUCCUUCUUCAGUCUUAUUUUCUCCUUUUUCUCCUUUCCGUUUCUUCAAUCUUCUUCUUUUCUCCUUUUCUUCUUUCCGUUUCCUUAGUCUUUUCUCAUUUUUCU